GAAUGAGUAAAAAAGUGAUCUCCUUUAGAAAGUUGAACGGAGGAGAAGGAUAAAGUUUUCACCUGGUUAACAGAGGAAGAGGAAGACGACGAAGACAUGACAGAAGGUCGCGCCGAUAAGAACAAGUUGAGAAAACAAGACCGAAGCCAAACUGAUGCUUUCGGAGGGGGAAGUCUAGGCCGGUAUUUAUAAGAGAAAGAGGUGUGGAAAUUUGGUAAGGGUGCGUCCCAUCGGAAGUAAG
rnacentral:lncRNA from 1 species